CUGGAGGCCCCGGCCCCCCGGCGUUCCCUCUCCGCGCACCUCCCGGCCCGCGCUAGCAGGUAGCAGGCAAGAGUGUGGUUAUCGUUGGACCAGGAUUCAGGAUCUGACUGAGUAGCUGACUCUUAAUCCAGUUUGUGUUGAUCACCAGGAGGAUCUGGACCUCAGUAUUACCACAUCUAGAGCUAUAAUCACAUCCCUGUUAAGCCUUCCUGAGAUCACACCAAAUGUCCUUGAUGGGAAUUGUAAACAACCCUUACUUCUGGUUUCUAAUGAUAUUCCAGGAAAGGAGCCUAACUAGAGUCAGUGAUAUGCCAACUCCACCUUUGCCUUCCACCAUGUUUGGAAGCUCCCUGAGGCCUCACCAGGAGCAGAUGCUCGUCCCAUGCUUCCUAUAAGCCUGCAGAACUGGAAAAGAAAGCUGGAUAAAGUAUUUAUAGAAGAUAGAGGACCUGUGGUGGCUCAUGCCUGUAAUCCAAGGUGGAAGGAUUGCUUGAGGCCAGAAGUUCAAGACCAGUCCAAGCAACAUAGCAAGGCCCCAUCUCUACAAAAAAUGAAAAUAAAAUUAGCCGAGCGUGAUGGCUCAUGCCUGUAGUUCUAGCUUCUAGAGAGGCUGAGGCAGGAGGAUUGCUUGAGUCCAGGAGUUCAAGAUUACAGUGAGCUAUGGUCACACCACUGCACUCCAGCCUGGGUGAUGGAGUGAGACUGUCUCAAUAAAAAGACAAAAAGGCUGGCCAGGGGCAGUGGUUCAUGCCUGUAAACCCAGCACUUUGGGAGGCAAAGGCAGGAGGAUUGCUUAAGCCCAGGAAUUUGAGAUCAGCCUGGACAACAUGGUCAAGGAAGCUUUUCCUGAUCCACUAACUAAGGACAAUCAAACCCUUCAUGAUCUAGAAUCUGGAGACUGUGUCUUCUGGGAAUAGUAUCAGAGAAAGACUGCCCUUACUGCCCACAUGUAGCAAAACUUUGAGACGUUGAAUUAUGGGUCCAUAAUCUCACAACUCAGAGGGGCACCUCUAGACUCUUGGAACUGUAUAUCUAUUGGAGACUUUAAGGUAAAGCUGAACAGAGAGACGUUUUUCUCCAGAAGCAGACAGCACCAUAGUCAUGGACAGCUUUCCCAAGAUCACAGAUCAAGACUUCUCUGCCGUCAUGAGACUCAUAACCUCUUAAUUUUUUCUUGCUUAUGCUUCUGUGAACAAUAGAAUUGGAAAAGGGGUGGUCCCGCGUGCACCCAUAGGGUAUACUUUUAUUUGUGGAGGAUUUUGCUGCCAACCUUAUACAUGGGCAAACUUAUGCCUUCAUGGAUGGAAGAUAAAGGGCUAAUAUGGGUUAGAAAUUUUAAUGGUACCUUUGUUUCUCCAUAAUCAUUCAGAAACAGAACACUGGUCCACUCUUGUUAACCUACAUCAUAGGUUGAAGAGAACAUUGCCAGGAGGCCUUCAUCCUUCCAGAUGGGCACCAUUUGUUGGGUCUUUUUCCGUGGUAUGAAGAAAAUGAAGCAAUGAUUAGAAAUUGGUCCCUCGGCCGGGCACAAUGGCUCAUGCCUGUAAUCCCAUCACUUUGGCAGGCCGAGGCGGGUGGAUCACCUGAGGUCAGGAGUUUGAGACCAGCCUGACCAAUGUGGUGAAACGCCAUCUCUACUAAAAAUACAAAAAUUAGCUGGGUGUGAUGGUGCACACCUGUAAUCCAGCUACUCGGGAGGCUGAGACAGGAGAAUUGCUUGAACCUGGGAGGCAGAGGUUGCAGUGAGCCAAGAUCACCCCACUGCAUUCCAGGUUGGGCAACAGAGCAAGACUCUGUCUCAAAAAAAAAAGAAGAAAGAAAGAAAUUGAUCCCUCAUAAUAGGCUGUAUAGCAGAUUCUACUGCAAAGGCUAUGGUUGCACAACAGACUUCUUUGAAUUUGCUUGCUAAACUUUUACUGGAUAAUACUGGGAUUACAGGUGUGAGCCACUGUGCCCAGCCUCUCCUGUUUAACUGUAUUCAUUCUAAUGUUUACUUACUUCUUUAAUUUGUAAAAUUGGGUCACUUAGAGUUUUUUUAGCCUAUCUUGCCAUUUAGCCACUGUUACUGAUAAUUUGGAUGGAAAAGAAAAAUAAAUUAUAUCACCUCUCAUCUUCAGUGUAUAUAUGUGUUAACUUAGUAAAUAUAGUAUUCUUUCUCGUUCCUAAUGAAAAUUUAGUUUACGUACUGAAACACUGCAAACUUUUAUAAAUAUUGUGAUGUAUUUGACCAAUACAAAGGAUCUUUUUAGAAACAGCAAACAGUUCUCAGAUUAUAGGAAUUACUCAUUUAAUGAUAGUUUCUUCUU
rnacentral:lncRNA from 10 species